GUUUUUAUAGUGUAACCUUAAACAUAUUACAUUUUCACUGUAAAGCUAAAGAAUAAUUCUUUUAAAAAUA
rnacentral:tRNA from 1 species